GUGCUGGUUUAGCUAAGUUGAUGGAGCAGUCACCCCUGCAGAGGCUGACAUCCUCAUUGCAAUGGUUGGAGCAGAAUGAAAGAGAAGAUCUAGCCAAGGUACGCCUGCAGAGGAAGAACUGUAACAUCAGCACUUUUCAAAAUCUUUAUCUUCAUGUCUGCAGUUAAUUCUGCUUUCACAAGAUUGAGGUGCAACAUCUGGAGCCGAAUCAGCAGCAAGAGAAGUGAUGGCUCACUGAAGCAGGAGCUGGAGGCUGUCUACAGAUCUCUGCAGCUGCAGUAUCUACAAAGUUUGUCUGAGGCAGCAACUUUGCUGUUUAUUAGUUCCAGAGAGCAGAGAGGGAUCCUGUUUGUGCACCCUGGGGACAUAUCGUUGCUGAAGUGAGCUUCACAUCGUGAGGGCACAACACUGGAGAGGAGUGGAGGGAAAGCAGGAGAGGACAGAGGAGAGAAACACUGUGUGGGCCGAGGCAGGU